rnacentral:rRNA from 1 species
UAUGAGAGUUUGAUCCUGGCUCAGGACGAACGCUGGCGGCGUGCCUAAUACAUGCAAGUCGAACGCCUCUUUUCCCACCGGAGCUUGCUCCACCGGGAAAAGAGGAGUGGCGAACGGGUGAGUAACACGUGGGUAACCUGCCCAUCAGAAGGGGAUAACACUUGGAAACAGGUGCUAAUACCGUAUAACAAUCGAAACCGCAUGGUUUCGUUUUGAAAGGCGCUUUACGGUGCCGCUGAUGGAUGGACCCGCGGUGCAUUAGCUAGUUGGUGAGGUAACGGCUCACCAAGGCCACGAUGCAUAGCCGACCUGAGAGGGUGAUCGGCCACAUUGGGACUGAGACACGGCCCAAACUCCUACGGGAGGCAGCAGUAGGGAAUCUUCGGCAAUGGACGAAAGUCUGACCGAGCAACGCCGCGUGAGUGAAGAAGGUUUUCGGAUCGUAAAACUCUGUUGUUAGAGAAGAACAAGGGUGAGAGUAACUGUUCACCCCUUGACGGUAUCUAACCAGAAAGCCACGGCUAACUACGUGCCAGCAGCCGCGGUAAUACGUAGGUGGCAAGCGUUGUCCGGAUUUAUUGGGCGUAAAGCGAGCGCAGGCGGUUUCUUAAGUCUGAUGUGAAAGCCCCCGGCUCAACCGGGGAGGGUCAUUGGAAACUGGGAGACUUGAGUGCAGAAGAGGAGAGUGGAAUUCCAUGUGUAGCGGUGAAAUGCGUAGAUAUAUGGAGGAACACCAGUGGCGAAGGCGGCUCUCUGGUCUGUAACUGACGCUGAGGCUCGAAAGCGUGGGGAGCAAACAGGAUUAGAUACCCUGGUAGUCCACGCCGUAAACGAUGAGUGCUAAGUGUUGGAGGGUUUCCGCCCUUCAGUGCUGCAGCUAACGCAUUAAGCACUCCGCCUGGGGAGUACGACCGCAAGGUUGAAACUCAAAGGAAUUGACGGGGGCCCGCACAAGCGGUGGAGCAUGUGGUUUAAUUCGAAGCAACGCGAAGAACCUUACCAGGUCUUGACAUCCUUUGACCACUCUAGAGAUAGAGCUUCCCCUUCGGGGGCAAAGUGACAGGUGGUGCAUGGUUGUCGUCAGCUCGUGUCGUGAGAUGUUGGGUUAAGUCCCGCAACGAGCGCAACCCUUAUUGUUAGUUGCCAUCAUUUAGUUGGGCACUCUAGCAAGACUGCCGGUGACAAACCGGAGGAAGGUGGGGAUGACGUCAAAUCAUCAUGCCCCUUAUGACCUGGGCUACACACGUGCUACAAUGGGAAGUACAACGAGUCGCGAAGUCGCGAGGCUAAGCUAAUCUCUUAAAGCUUCUCUCAGUUCGGAUUGUAGGCUGCAACUCGCCUACAUGAAGCCGGAAUCGCUAGUAAUCGCGGAUCAGCACGCCGCGGUGAAUACGUUCCCGGGCCUUGUACACACCGCCCGUCACACCACGAGAGUUUGUAACACCCGAAGUCGGUGAGGUAACCUUUUUGGAGCCAGCCGCCUAAGGUGGGAUAGAUGAUUGGGGUGAAGUCGUAACAAGGUAGCCGUAUCGGAAGGUGCGGCUGGAUCACCUCCUUUCUAAGGAA